UACGCGCGUCGCCACCUCCGCUGGCGUUACGAUGCAAGGGCGGCGGUAACGGAUGGCCCUCGGAUUCGUCCUGGGAGAAUCGCGACGGAGAGACGGAGAGACGGAGACGGCCUUACCUCGGUCCACAGUGACAGUGGACGCGAUUAUGAACGCUGCAGUCGUAACGCUUCCCGGCGUUUUCUAGCUCACAGAAACACAUCUGAAAGAUUACUGUGACAACGGCCCUCAGACGCAGCGGGCGAAGCGGCCCGAACAGGAGAAGCCAGGGUGUCGGGAGCCACCGGAAUGCUCCGCAAACGUUAACUUAACGGCCCCGGUUCAGCGUUUCAGAUCCACUCCGAAGGCGGCCGGAGACCUGGACCCGUGACUCUUGACAGGGGAGCGCGGCGAAGAGCCCCGCAGACAACUGGGCAACGUCACCUUUGUUCUCCAAAGUGGACAUCCUACCGGGCGGGGUACACCGGGCCGGCUCGCUUUGUGGAAGGUUAUACGCGCAGGUAUGACAAAGCGCCACAAAUUGUGUAAAGGACCAGCAGGUGGCGCAGUGGUUAGAGCUGCCACCUGGAUAUCGAAGGGUUCGAAUCCC